rfam:Solenopsis invicta Si_gnG.contig41956, whole genome shotgun sequence.
CAAUCGGCCCUUUUCAGGGCCAAAAAUUUUCUUACGAUGGAAUAUU